rnacentral:rRNA from 1 species
GAUGAACGCUGGCGGCAUGCUUUACACAUGCAAGUCGAACGGAAAGUCGUGGUUCUUGUGGCGUCCGCGUGAGUAACGCGUGAGAGCCUGCCCUGGGGAGGGUAACCAUAGCUGGAAGCGGCUGCUAAUACACCGUAGGCUGAGGAGCGAAAGGAGUAAUGCGCCCAAGGGGGGGCUCGCGACUGAUUGGCUAGUUGGCGAGGUUAGAGCUUACCAAGGCGGUUGUCCGUCGCUGGUCCGAGAGGGUCAUCAGCCACACUGCGACGGAGCCGAGGACAAGGCUACUGCGGGCAGCAGCCGAGAGGAAUUUGCAGCAAUGGGCGGAAGGCUGACGGAGCAAUGCGGCCUGGAGGUAAACCUCCUAGGGGUCAACAACUUCUUCUCCUGGAGAAGAAACAAUGACGGUAUCUGGUGAAUAAGCAUCGGCUAACUACGUG